rnacentral:rRNA from 1 species
CCUACGGGUGGCAGCAGUGAGGAAUAUUGGUCAAUGGCCGGAAGGCUGAACCAGCCAUGCCGCGUGAAGGUCAGUGCCCUAUGGGCGUUAAACUUCUUUUGUGCGGGAGCAAUAAUGGUCACGUGUGGCCAGACGAGAGUACCGUACGAAUAAGCAUCGGCUAACUCCGUGCCAGCAGCCGCGGUAAUACGGGGGAUGCAAGCGUUAUCCGGAUUUAUUGGGUUUAAAGGGUGCGUAGGCUGUGAGUUAAGUCAGCGGGGUAAUCCCCUGGCUCAACGGGGUGAAGUGCCAUUGAUACUGGCUUGCUGGAAUGCGCAAGACGUAGGAGGAAUGUGUGGUGUAGCGGUGAAAUGCAUAGAUAUCACACAGAACCCCGAUUGCGAAGGCAUCUCACGAAUCCGCGAUUGACGCUGAUGCACGAAAGCGUGGGUAUCGAACAGGAUUAGAUACCCCGGUAGUC